UCCAGACUCCUACGGGAGGCAGCAGUCGGGAAUAUUGCGCAAUGGAGGAAACUCUGACGCAGUGACGCCGCGUAUAGGAAGAAGGUUUUCGGAUUGUAAACUAUUGUCGUUAGGGAAGAUAAAAGACAGUACCUAAGGAGGAAGCUCCGGCUAACUACGUGCCAGCAGCCGCGGUAAUACGUAGGGAGCAAGCGUUAUCCGGAUUUAUUGGGUGUAAAGGGUGCGUAGACGGGAAAUUAAGUUAGUUGUGAAAUCCCUCGGCUCAACUGAGGAACUGCAACUAAAACUGAUUUUCUUGAGUGCAGGAGAGGUAAGUGGAAUUCCUAGUGUAGCGGUGAAAUGCGUAGAUAUUAGGAGGAACACCAGUGGCGAAGGCGGCUUGCUGGACGAUGACUGACGUUGAGGCUCGAAAGCGUGGGGAGCAAACAGGAUUAGAUACCCGUGUA
rnacentral:rRNA from 1 species